UUUCAGAAAUGUUUACCUGAUCAAGAUUGUCAUUGAAAAUACAUUCAUAUCUCUUCAUGCAUCCAGGUCAUUUCACUGAAUGCAACUCUACCUGGAUGACUGAGUGGUGUGGACUCUUCAUUUCAAACCCUGGCCCUGGCAUAAAGUCCAUUACUGUCUCUUCAGGCCAACGUGCAAUUUUGUUGUUAUUGUUGUCAUUGAUAAUGAGUGAAUGGGUGAACAGAGAGCUGGCUUUUAUUGAAAGCAGAAAAAAGAAUCUCAGUAAGAGUAAACAGCCUCAAAUCUUAUGAGUCAAUUUUGUGACAGUCUGUCCCUUGCUUCUUCGCUUUGGGUAAGUUUUAUUCUUUAAUUCUUUGCCAUUUCCUAAAUGAGGAGAUACAGCAAUCAUAGCUCAGCAAAUUGCUAGACAAGACAACGUAUGAUCUUCUUUGGCUCACAUUAAUGGAUGGAUGGUUUGACUGAAGCCAUCACUAUUGUGACCUUAGCUACAGCUUCAACACGCUUCUGGAGGACAGAGCAG
rnacentral:lncRNA from 1 species